CAGUAGCCGCGGUAAUACGUAGGGUCCGAGCGUUGUCCGGAAUUAUUGGGCGUAAAGGGCUCGUAGGCGGUUUGUCGCGUCGGGAGUGAAAACCAGCAGCUUAACUGCUGGCCUGCUUUCGAUACGGGCAGACUUGAGGCAUUCAGGGGAGAACGGAAUUCCUGGUGUAGCGGUGAAAUGCGCAGAUAUCAGGAGGAACACCGGUGGCGAAGGCGGUUCUCUGGGAAUGUUCUGACGCUGAGGAGCGAAAGUGUGGGGAGCGAACAGGAUUAGAUACCCGUGUAGUCCCUGUCUCUUAUAC
rnacentral:rRNA from 1 species